rnacentral:lncRNA from 1 species
GUGUAAGAGUUAAUGUGGGUGUAUGUGUGUGUGUGAGAGAGAGAGAGAGAGAGUAAAACUGGCCUUUGUGGUGGUUGGCGGUGGUUAUGGAGAAAACAAAUAGAAGAAGCAAUAGUAAUAGCAUGAGAAGUGACGUUGAGGAAGAAGAAAAGAAAAGAAAGUUAUAAGUUUCCCCUCAAUUUUUUUGAAAUUAUGAACCUGCCCCAGAAGUUCCUUAAACUAUAGUGUAAAGUAGGUAUUUUUUCAUAAUCACUUUUCCCUAGUUUCUAUUUUAUCCUUACUGACUAGAUUCAUCUUAACCUCUAAAUUUUAUCACUUUUCCCUACUUUCAAUUUUAUCCUUACUGACUAGAUUCAUCUUAACCUCUAAAUUUCGUGUUUUAUUUAAUGCUACUUUGUUAAUGACAGUAGGAAUACAAGGUGCUCUUGCUACUAGAAUUACUUACUUUUAAUACUAUAGGUCCAUGGUUACACCAGGGUCACUUUAUUUCUAUAUUAGUGAGUAUAUAUAUAUAUAUAUAU